rnacentral:SRP_RNA from 1 species
GCUGCACUAGAGGGCGCAGUGAGCACUAGAUUGAGUAGCAGCGCUGAUGCUCGCGGCUCUCGCCCAGGGGUUCUGGGCUGCAGUGGACUAUGUCGAUCGGGUGUCCGCGCUAAGUUCGGUAUCGAUAUGGUGCUCCUGGGGGAGCUCGGGACCACCAGGUCGUCUAAGGAGGGGUGAACCGGCCCAGGUCGGAGACGGAGCAGGUCAAAGCCCCCGUGCCGAUCAGUAGUGGGGUCGCACCUGUGAAUAGACACUGCAGUGCAGCCUGAGCGAUACAGCGAGACUCAGACUUUU